UCCACGCCGUAAACGAUGUUCACUCGCUGUUUGCGAUACACAGCAAGCGGCUGAGCGAAAGCAUUAAGUGAACCACCUGGGGAGUACGAUCGCAAGGUUGAAACUCAAAGGAAUUGACGGGGGCCCGCACAAGCGGAGGAACAUGUGGUUUAAUUCGAUGAUACGCGAGGAACCUUACCUGGGCUUAAAUGUAGAUUGCAUAAGGUGGAAACAUCUUUUCCCUUCGGGGCUAUUUGCAAGGUGCUGCAUGGUUGUCGUCAGCUCGUGCCGUGAGGUGUCGGGUUAAGUCCCAUAACGAGCGCAACCCCUAUCGUUAGUUGCCAGCGGGUCAAGCCGGGGACUCUAGCGAGACUGCCACCGUAAGGUGAGAGG
rnacentral:rRNA from 1 species